AUGAUGCCCCCAUUGUCAUCAGUUAAUAGUUCUUUUGAUUCAGAUUUUCAGUUUCUUGUCUCUCUAGGGCUAUUUGUUGAAGACUUGGUAGUUGGGUUUCAUACUUUCACAAGAUGAAUCAUGCAAAGUAAGCAAAACCCUGUUGGACUGACAUUAUUGCUUUUGUAUUUGGUUAUUUUAUAUAUUGAUGACAAUAAAAGAAAUUUCUUAAGCCAAAUGUACUGUGAUGCUAGGCAAGUGGUUCUUGGCUAAAAAAUUGAUUAUUUAUUUAUUUGCGUACUAUGAGAUGAUGUUCAUACACAUUCCAUAUCACUAGAAUGACUGCCCUAGUUCAACGGCAUGGUAACUACUCGGUGCAGAAAUUCAACUGAACAAAAGCCAUGGAGAAGUGGUGGCAUGGUAUCCACAUGACAUAUUUCAUCAUUAUCAUCAUCCUCUGUUUCCAGAGGAAGUUAGUAUAUUGCCAUAACUUAUUCAAAUGGCUCUCCCUAACUUAUAUAGGAGAGUAGGAAGUUUGUAAGCCUCUUAAAGCAAUCUACAAUUAUCUAUUGAGUGGAGGAGUAUGGAAGAUUAUAAAGAGGCCUAGAGAUGUUCACACAUCUUUACACAAUGUUGGAAGAUAAAAGAAGUGUUUUGAGUGUUUGAGAGUUCUAGAGAACUCUUGUAUAUGGCUUUGUACAUAACUUUCAUGUAAGCUUUUCUAGAGAGUUCUAAAUUAGUGAGGAACCUUUGUGGGUUUCAAAUAAUUUUUAGGUGACCUUAUUUGGCCAAGACACAAGCAAGUCGAGAGCUUCCUAGCAUUGCAAAGCAUUUUUGUGCAAUACAAAACUUCCUUUUAAGUGUUGCCCUCGUUGAGCAUCCUAGCUACCAACUCACUUAGCAUUACUUAGCAUAGCAAGUUAAGAUCGGGGAAAGAAUGACUUAGCAAUAUGAAGUAUUUUGAAUUGUCUAAGUGUCGCACGUGAGUUUAAGAAAGGCUUAAAUCUGUGACAAUAUACUGCUUGAACAUGACUACAAACCCCAAAACUGGAUAUUAGUUUAUGAUGAAGAAUGCAUAUCUUAUGACUUCAUUUAUGGAGUAUUGAUGAUAGGUGGUCAGCACUGAUGCUGUUGUAGUACCGUUUUCUUUCAGAAGAAGAUGCUCAGAGAUCAUAAGGAGCCGAUCUAAUUAACUGAUUUCAAGGAUUUGGUUUGUUGUUUAAGAAAUUUUAACUUACUACACCAUAUGUUGGUCAAAACUGAGAUGAUAAAUAGUUUAAGUCAACAAGCUCCCCUUUUGUAUCAUGAAUAUCUUGAGCAAGUGUAGUUUUUAUGCAGGCAAUGCUAUCUCACAGAGAUACCUCAUUAGUGAGAGGGUCAAAGAUAAAAAACUGUACAAAUUGGGUACAAUGGAAGUAUUUUGCAAUUUUGAAGCCCCAUUUUGUGAGUAAGAAUAUGGUUUUAUGAGUAACAUGGAACUUUUUUUAUUUAUUUAAAACUUGCUGUCAGGAUAUAUUUUCUACUAUUUGAUAGUUUAUUCCACAUGCUUCUAGUUUCACAUUUCUGAAAAUGGAAAUGUGUCAAAUUUAUUGCCUUCAUCCCUUUCCUACAAAACAGAGUGCCCUGUUACCAUCAGUUCAGAAUUUCAGUUUCUUGUCUCAGCUUUGCUUUGCCAACUUGUGGGUAUUUUAAGUGGAGGUAUUUCUCCUUUCUCCAUGGCUGUUUCAGCCGGUUUAAGACUUGGUACUUGGUUUUCACACUCUCACCAUAUGAAUCAUGCAAAAAUAAGCAAAACCCUGUUGGACUGACAUUGUUGUUUCUGUAUUUGGUUAUUUAUAUUGAUAUAUUGAUUUAAUCCAGCCCUUCUUCUAAAGCUUUCCUUUUUUUCCCCAACAUCAGUAGGAAAAUCAAACAAUAAAAAAAUUUCUUAAGCUAAAUGUAUUGUGAUGCUAGGCAAGUAGUAAUUUAUUUGCAUACUAUGAGAUGAUGUUCAUACACAUUCCAUAUCACUAGAAUGACUGUCUUGAUUCAGUGGCAUGCUAACUACUCACUGCAGAGAUUCAACUAUUUAUUUGCAGAAUCCUUGGCAAAUCCAUGGAGAAUUGGUGGCAUGGUAUCUACAUGACAUGCUCCAUCAUCAUCCUCCUCCUCCUCCUCCUCCUCUGUUUGUAGAGGAAGCUAGCAUAUGCUGCUCGAACAUUACUGCAAAACCCAAAUCUCAGGAGGACUUCAUUUUUGGAGGAAGCAUAUACACUGAUCUUCAGGGGCAGCUUGAACGACCCGUUUAAAGUAGCUUGAGGCUAUAUCUUGGUCCUGGUGGAGCUCCCACACUAACUUUCAAUAUUAAGAAAAGAUUUCACCAUCUUUUGGAUCUGCCAGAAUGGCUCGACCCAAGUAUUCCUCUGUUCCUUGGAGAUCAUGCUUUGACUGUCAAAAUGACAUGUAAGUAUGCUUCUGUACUAGAAGGAAAAUAUUUUUGUUGUGCUUUCUUAUGAACUGCUUUAACCAAAUUCCUAUUUUUUGCCCUGCAAACUGUGCUGAUACAGAAAGAAAUUGAAGAAGAUGAAAGCAUUCUCACCUAAUACAGAAACUGAGCAUAAUUCCUCAGAAACAAAGGGUUGUUAGGAUUCCCCCCCAACCCACCAUCCUUUUGUAAUACUCUUCCACUCCUGGCCUAUGGUCCGCCGCUGUCCUUGCCAAAGCCUUUUGGAAUAAAAUUCCCUCCACCACCACUGCUGCCUCGCUGUGCCCCCCCUCCACCCCCCCGUCCCCCCAACACAAAUCAACAUCACUCACACCGAGUCCUCUUGCAAGAUACAUUUCUUAACCAACCAGCUCAUUUUCCUCUUCAAAAGCCACAUUCCUACCUCCAUUCUCCCUAAUAAAGCCCAUCAUUUUUAUGUUUUCUAUGCUGAAUUCAUCAUCUCCCAUAGCCAUGAAUCUCUCUCCAUCAUUUUCCUCCAACUCUUCCUGCUCUUCCUCAUCCUUUUCUUCUUCCUCAUCACUGUCUUCAUCCUCAUUCAUGCAACUUAAACUAAAAAAUGAGAAAGAUGGUAAAGUCUGCAACAGUGAGCAACUGGGUCUCCACAGAUUUCCUUGGGAAGGUUUCAGGUACUACUAAACUCAUCCUUGUUGUUGCAAGAUGCAUAAGCCAGGCCUUUCAAAUUCCCAUCAAAUUGAGCUUUUCAAAAGCCUCUAUGGUCAACAUUAACCGAUGGAGAGAUAGGAGAGGAGCUGAAAGAGAUUAAGGAUAGAUUCAAAGACCCAGUUUGAUGCAGUAAGAGCAUGUUGUGAGCUUGAUGAAUGGUGGUUGUAGGGUGUUUGAUAGUUGCAUCAGAAAGGUUGUUGGAACUGUCUGAAAAGCAUGGCAGGAGGGAACCAAGAACUGGUGUUGAAUAGCUCUUGAGCAGCCUUUCUCUCCUUUUAACAAUAGCUUUGGUGGCUGCUGUUUGUGUUACAUGUGAAGAUCUAUCAAAAAGAAAACAAGCUGAGAGACGGAAGAUCUUUCAAUGAAAAUACUAUGCCUUUCUGCUUAGAUUGUGGAAGGGGAAGAGGCAGAGGCAGAGGCAGUUACCAAACAGAUGUGCCAAGAGCUUGGGGUUCUGUUGCUAGAGGCAACAGUUUCCUUCAGCAUGGUUUGCAACAAGAUUAAGGGUCAUAAGACAGAAUUAUCUAAAAGUGGGCAGCCCUAUUCAGGGUCCAUGUUGAGGCUUCUUAGAUUGUUUCUAGCCGAGGUGAUUAUUGCAUCCAUGGUUUCUGGAAAGAACAACCAAGGGGUCAUGGUUUUGAAUGGAUGGAGUGUUGUAUUUAUUCUGUCUUCCUACUCUUCCACUUGAAUGGAUUUUAUCAUGCAAUUCAAAGUAUUUUUGCAUUUUGAAGCCCCGUGUUGUGAGUGUAAAAAUAUGGUUUCAUGGGUUACAUGGAACUUUUUUUAAUUUACUUAAAACUUGCUGUCUGGAUAUAUUUUCUAUGUUAUGGUU